UUUCAGGUGACAUAUCGACUAA
rnacentral:miRNA from 1 species